rnacentral:lncRNA from 1 species
GCCGCUCCGCCUGUCUAAUUUUAGCUCUGAGGUGUCAGGGUCGUGCGAGGUGAGGCGGCGGGGUCGCAACGGGCUCGGGUGGGGUCCUCACGUGACUCCGUGAGGCGGCAUGCUCAGGUGGGGGUUCCCCUCAGGACUGGGGGGCCGGAGUCACGUGAGGUGAGGCGGGUCGUGAUGGGUUUGGGUAAGGGUCCCCUCGCGACGAGGAUGGGGUUGCAUGAGGUGAGGCGGCAAGCCCUGGUCCUCUUGGUGAGCGGGGUCUUCAGGUCACGUGAAGUGACUGCACAAGGUCUCCACAGCUCGGACACGGGACCCCUCAGGAGUGGGUCGCCAGGUUCAUCUGAGAUGGUUUCCUGCAUGUCUGUGAGGAGUGGAGGAGGACAUGUCUGUCAUCCAGAGUAACCGGGUCAAGGAUGUGUGGUUAGAUUGGAAAGGAAGACAUCUGCUUGCAUCAGCUCAACUUUGAAGACAGGGGGUGCACUGACCCCCACCCUCUCUCCCAUCUCACAUGAGGAUGACCAGAGAGGGUUGGUGUUCGAGAUUUGCCAUAAUGUGUGGGAUCAGGAACCAGAUAAAAGUUUAGUGUUGAAGAAAUGAAUGCCAGGCACCUUGUAAAAUUGGCACCGCAGCCCUGUCAUCAGAAAGUGAGCUGUUCUUUUGACACACAGAGUUGUUUGCCAUGUCACAGUGACCUGCAUUCUGUUAGUGAGGGAGCCUCAGGUUUCACAUGGGUUGUCUCUGUAUAAGCUGUAAAAUGAUAGCCUCUGGCCUUUAUGGUAUUGGGAAACUUGAAGUGUUUAAUGAUAAAAGUGGUUUCUAAUGGUUGA